rnacentral:lncRNA from 1 species
CUUUAUUGACCUCAACUAUAUCAGUGACUUUUACAUGACAUUAUUCAAUGUUUUUGCUUCUCCUUAUAUCUAUAAAAAGGCCAUAUAAAAGGGAUUAUAUAGAGAAAUAAAGAGAGAGGGAGUUUCAUCGUACAAUGACUAUGCCUUUGUUCAAUAUCUUGAGCUGUUUUUCAGAGCAAUCCGAGAGGGGCAGUCGAUACAUAUGCGAUGGCGAUGUGUGUUAUUUGCGCGAUCCAAAGGCAACGAGCGCCAAGAAAAAAAAUGAGCGAAAGCGAAGCGUUCGGAUUUCAUUUUCGCGGCUUUCAACAAGAAAUGAUUAAUUUACUGAUGUUCUAAAUUUUCUUGUCAAUAAGGGCUUAGUUGAAUAAGCCCUUUGUACACACUAUUGAUAGAAUCUUAUGGAUAAUCUCUAGAGCAAAAAUCAGGGUCAGAAGGUGCAGUGGUAACACUAAUCCUUUGUAUGGUGAUUGCUGCAAUUGAUGUUGGGAUAUAAGAAAUUUGAUCUUUCAGAAUUAUUCUUUUUAUAUGCAUUUAUAUAUACUUUGUACAUGUAGACUAUAAAAAGUAGAGAUUAUCUAAUAUAGAAAGAGGAUUUUAUUCAAGUGGUAAGAGCAAAGGUUUUUUAGAUCAAUAAUCCAAGUUCGAGUUUCAUUUAAAAGAAGGGUGAAAUUCGAAAAAAAAAGAAGAAAAAAAGAGAUGAGAGAUUGAUAGAUUAAUUGAUAUUUUUGUUGAAAAAAGUUAACUGUUCGAAGGAGGAAAUUGUCUUCGUUCUUUCAUGAAAGGAAGAAAAUUAAAUUUGGAGGAGAUUUCAAUUUAGAGAUUGUUUGAUUUUAAUAAAAAUUGAUCAAUUGUAUGGUUGAAAAUUGAUAAAAAUUGUAUCUCAUGAAAUGUGUGAUAAAAUUAAGUUUGAUUAGUUAAGGUUAAUAAAGUUUUACUUUUAUUGAACAAACACUUAUUGUAGUUGCACGUUUUCAAGUUCAUACAUAUUUUAUUACAAUUCUAAAAAAUUUUCCUUCAAAAUUUAUUACCUUCAUUAAAAGUACAGGCUUCAAAUUAAAAUACUAUUUUUGGGGAUACUUUUACCCUCGAAAAACAAUCCAUGAUUCGCUAAUGUUUAUAAUUGAUCGAACCAAUUUUUAUUCACGUAUUUUCGUAAGAUCCACGAACAUUAUUCACUAACUCAUAAUUCAAUUUUUUUUUUUUUUUUUGCCAGAAUAUGUUAGUUUACUUGGCGACGAUGCAUGAAGUCCUAGGAUAAUAAUACAUUG